rnacentral:rRNA from 1 species
UUCCGGUUGAUCCUGCCGAAGGCUACUGCUAUUGGAGUUCGAUUAAGCCAUGCGAGUCUAAGGGAUACUUGUAUCCCUGGCAUAAUGCUCAGUAACACGUGGAUAAUCUGCCCUCAGGUGAGGAAUAAACCCGGGAAACUGGGGCUAAUACCUCAUAGACACAGAAAGCUGGAAUGCUUCUGUGUUCAAAGCUCCGGCGCCUGAGGAUGAGUCUGCGGCCUAUCAGGUUGUAGUCAGGGUCAUGACCUGACUAGCCAACGACGGGUACGGGGUGUGAGAGCACUUGCCCGGAGAUGGUUUCUGAGACACGAAACCAGGCCCUACGGGGCGCAGCAGGCGCGAAAACUUCGCAAUGCGGGAAACCGUGACGAGGGAACUCCAAGUGUCUAUGCAUUGCAUAGACUGUUUUUUAGCCUAAAUAGCUAAAAGAGUAAGAGGUGGGCAAGACCGGUGCCAGCCGCCGCGGUAACACCGGCACCUCGAGUGGUAGCCACUAUUAUUGGGCCUAAAGCGUUCGUAGCCGGUUUGGUAAAUUCUUGGGUAAAUCGUACAGCUUAACUGUGCGGAUUCCGGGGACACUACCAGACUUGAGACCGGGAGAGAUCAGAGGUACUUGUAGGGGAGCGGUGAAAUGUUGUAAUCCUACAGGGACCACCAGUGGCGAAGGCGUCUGAUCAUAACGGCUUUGACGGUGAGGAACGAAACCCUGGGGCGCAAACGGGAUUAGAUACCCCGGUAGUCCAGGGCGUAAACGCUGCUGACUUGGUGUUGGAGAUCCUACGAGGGUGUCCAGUGCUGGCGCGAAGGCAUUUAGUCAGCCGCCUGGGGAGUACGGUCGCAAGACUGAAACUUAAAGGAAUUGGCGGGGGAGCACUGCAACGUGUGGAGCGUGCGGUUUAAUUGGAGUCAACGCCGGG